AUUGAACGCUGGCGGCAGGCCUAACACAUGCAAGUCGAGCGGAGCGGCGGACGGGUGAGUAAUGUCUAGGAAUCUGCCUGGUAGUGGGGGAUAACGUUCCGAAACGGGCGCUCAUACCGCAUACUAUCAGAUGAGACUAGGUCGGAUUAGCGAGUUGGUGGGGUAAAGGCCUACCAAGGCGACGAUCCGUAACUGGUCUGAGAGGAUGAUCAGUCACACUGGAACUGAGACACGGUCCAGACUCCUACGGGAGGCAGCAGUGGGGAAUAUUGGACAAUGGGCGAAAGCCUGAUCCAGCCAUGCCGCGUGUGUGAAGAAGGUCUUCGGAUUGUAAAGCACUUUAAGUUGGGAGGCGUUACCAACAGAAUAAGCACCGGCUAACUUCGUGCCAGCAGCCGCGGUAAUUC
rnacentral:rRNA from 1 species